AUAUGACAGUGUCAGUAGAGCAGUGAGUGCAACCAUUUGACGUCACCGACAUAGAACGCAAACAAAAUGGUGCCGCCCAUUGUCCAAAUCGGUCCAAAUAUGUCAUGGAUUUUUUAAAUAAGAAAGACCCAACUUUGAGGCCUGUGGCAUUGCAGCGUUUGGUCUGCAGGACAGCGUUGGGUACAGGUGGAGGGACCGGACAACGCAGCUCACACAGAGCUUCGGGGAAAGACCACAUGCCAUCCUCCAUACACGUCAGCACGUUAUUACUGCCUGCGGAGACAAAAGGACAAAGGGCCUUUUGAUUUAGGAACUGUCAAGGUCUACCCACCCACAAGCAGAGCCGGCUCCCGGCACUGAAAAGUGCACUUCUUGCCGUAGGUGGUACCCUCAGAGAACUCAAAGACAGCCGGGUGCACAUGGUACUUGUCAGGCCGCCCGCAGUCCACAGGUUCACAGGUCACCUGCUUGUUCCAUUUCCCAUCCGCACAGGACCGUAUUGGCACUCUCUCAAUGAUGUUACGGUAACAGGUUAAUGAUGAAAUGGCUAAUUUGUCUCUGACUAAAGCCUUUAGGAACACACAUUAUGAGCUCCCUGGAGAUGACUGAUAAGCUGUAACGACUGUGCUGGGAUCAGCACUUUCGCUCUGUAAAGGUACGAGGGCUCCCUUGCACUGUCGUCAUCAUCUCUUCAGCUCACACGCAAGCGAGACAUGUAAAUCCAGCCAAUUUCUUUUUAACCUUAAUAUGGUCACAUUUUGUAGGGUAAACCCUGAAACUAUCAUGACACCAUUUUCUAAAUGCCCAUUUACUAUAAUGUGUAUGUUUAGACAUAAUUUUAUAAUAAUAAAACAAUACAAUAUGUCCAAAUAUUUUUAUUUAUUUAUUUAUUUGUUUGCACUGAA